AUCCAGCUGACGAGACCCGAACAGGACGAAACGCGUGUCCUGGAU
rnacentral:hammerhead_ribozyme from 1 species